AGGCAGACCAGGGAGAUCAGACAUCACCUGGGAGGUGCUGGAGGAAGAGAAACCUGAUUAGAUGUGGAAGAAUUUUUCCAGAGCCACGUCCAACUACAUUCCCUCUGAUAAUUCUCACACCGGUUUGGGGAUUAAGGAAUUGGUAAAUACAAUGGGGCACUCUGUAUCAGCAUGGAAGAGCCAAGAAAAUAUGAUUCCCUGUGUCUGACCUUUCCACAUAAACAUGGAAGAGAAGCCAUUGAAAUCACUGGCCUUCAGAGGGGUAUUUAACAGAAUUUUCUGAAGCUGAAUGAUUCAUGUGAAGAUUAUGUAAGAUGUUGGAGUCCUGGAAAGAAGACUGGAGACUUUAGCAAAAAAAGGGAGAUAAACUGCAAAGAAAGAAGUUAAGCCCCAUUUCAAGGACUCACCAAAAAACAAAAAAGGAAUUCAAAAGCCAUAAGAGUAUAUGGCUGCUCCGGGUCUUAGUUGCAGCAUGUGAACUCUUAGUUGUGGCACGCAUGCAGGAUCUCACUGCCCAACCAGGGAUGGAACCCAGGUCCCCUGCACUGGGAGUGAGGAGUCUUACCCACUGGACCACCAGGGAAGUCCCACUCACUCUUGAUAUAUCCAUCUUUUUAAU